GCCGGACGGGGUGGCGCGCGCCUGUAGUCCCAGCUACUCGGGAGGCUGAGAUGGGAGGAUCGCUUGAGCCCAGGAGUUCUGGGCUGUAGUGCGCUAUGCCGAUCGGGUGUCCGCACUAAGUUCGGCAUCAAUAUGGUGACCUCCCGGGAGCGGGGGACCACCAGGUUGCCUAAGGAGGGGUGAACCGGCCCAGGUCGGAAACGGAGCAGGUCAAAACUCCCGUGCUGAUCAGUAGUGGGAUCGCGCCUGUGAAUAGCCACUGCACUCCAGCCUGGGCAACAUAGCGAGACCCCGUCUCU
rnacentral:SRP_RNA from 1 species